rnacentral:tRNA from 1 species
GCCUGGGUGGCUCAUUCGGUUAAGCAUCUGACUUCGGCCCAGGUCAUGAUUUUGCAGUUUGUGAGUUCGAUCCUCACAUCAGGCU